rnacentral:tRNA from 1 species
GGGAUGGUAGCUCAGUGGUAGAGAAUCUUGACCGCUAUUUGGGAGGUCCUGGGUUCAAGUCCUAGCUGGUCCA